GCGAUUACCGAUUUAUCGGCAAAUACUGCGAUAAAAUUUAAAUUUCGUACUUUUUAUGCAAUGAAUAUUUAAAAAGUAGAGAAAACUAAGUUUUAUCGCGGUAUUUGCCGAUAAAUCGGUAAUCGC